UGGUUCUGGCAUCGAUGAAGAACGCAGCGAAAUGCGAUAAGUAAUGCGAAUUGCAGAAUUUCCGUGAGUCAUCGAAUCUUUGAACGCACAUUGCGCCCUCUGGUAUUCCGGGGGGCAUGCCUGUUCGAGCGUCAUUAUCAACCCUCAAGCCUGGCUUGGUGUUGGACGGGGUCGUGAGAACGACCGGUCCCAAAGACAAUGACGGCGUCUGUUGGACCCUCGGUGCAAUGAGCUUUCACGAGCACGCACCCGAGUUUCAAGGACCUCCAGCCCGGUCUCCUAGAACGUUUGGUUCUACUUCUCAGGUUGACCUCGGAUCAGGCAGGGUUACCCGCUGA
rnacentral:misc_RNA from 1 species